GGGUGCGAUCAUACUAGCAAUAAUGCACUGGAUCCCAUCAAAACUUUGAAAUUAAGCUUAUUUGGGCAAGAGCAGUAUUAGGAUCACUACUAGAAUUAUGCUCAUAGACAUCACGACAAUUAAAUCGGUGAGAAAUACACGCGAUGUAAAA
rnacentral:rRNA from 1 species